CUCAUGAAAACAUUAACCCUUGAGGUUUCAUAGUGUCAAGAACAACUACUUGGUGUUAAAGGAUGAUUACUUUCAAAUACAUAUAUUCUUGUGUUUUAACUUCCUAAGUCCCUAAACGAACAUAUUCAACCUUGUAACCUCAUCAACUUCGUCACAUUGGAUAAUCGGAAAGCAUAUGCAAACUUUGUUGAGGAUGAUGAUGCUAUGAAAUGAAGUAGCGUUGAUGCCU
rnacentral:lncRNA from 1 species